rnacentral:rRNA from 1 species
AACGAACGCUGGCGGCAUGCCUAACACAUGCAAGUCGAACGAGACCUUCGGGUCUAGUGGCGCACGGGUGCGUAACACGUGGGAAUCUGCCCUUUGCUUCGGAAUAACAGUUAGAAAUGACUGCUAAUACCGGAUGAUGUCGAAAGACCAAAGAUUUAUCGGCAAAGGAUGAGCCCGCGUAGGAUUAGGUAGUUGGUGGGGUAAAGGCCUACCAAGCCGACGAUCCUUAGCUGGUCUGAGAGGAUGAUCAGCCACACUGGGACUGAGACACGGCCCAGACUCCUACGGGAGGCAGCAGUGGGGAAUAUUGGACAAUGGGCGAAAGCCUGAUCCAGCAAUGCCGCGUGAGUGAUGAAGGCCUUAGGGUUGUAAAGCUCUUUUACCAGGGAUGAUAAUGACAGUACCUGGAGAAUAAGCUCCGGCUAACUCCGUGCCAGCAGCCGCCGUAACAC